rnacentral:lncRNA from 1 species
AGCAGGCCCAAACCACUGCUCAAGACACAUCACAGGCCCAAGUUGAGUUGACUAUUCCCUCAACCCAAAUCUAAUGCGCUCCCAGCGCCGCACCGCGCCCAUGCGUCUUGCACGUGGCACGACCUACUUCCGCGGCCCAACUCGUUCCCCUGGCUCACUUAGCGAUCCCGACUGGUUCAACCAUCUCGAAUUCAUAUUUCUAAACCGACGAUUGAACCAGGGCCAUUUUCACCUCAUUUAUCUGUAAAUUUGACAUUUCCCAAUUCAAAUAUCUCACCCGGAGUCCAUUACACUUCCACUACUCAAGGAGACGCAUACCGUCCAAGCUCUUUCAACCCGAAUGGCGAACCAUACUUGUCUCGACAAGUCAUAUAAUUGACAAGCGCCCUCGCACAGUAGACAGCCUUGGUGAAUCAGCUUUUCCAACACAUCGAGAUGCAAUGUGCCCUAGAUGAGGUGUUCCGACAAGGGUAGAUGACGAACCUCUCUAGUAACGUCCUAGCAGGCAUCCCUUCAACCAGCCACAAUUCGAGCGUUCUAGCAGUUUACGCUCCCACCUAACUCAUCGGGAUAACGUAUAUUUUCAUCUUAGCAUGCAAAGGAACGUGCAAGGCCACACUCCGAUUAUCAACAUGGACAACCUCCUAGGCGAAGUGUUCAUUCACAAUUAGGCUCGCAAAGAACAUUAUCCACCUCACAUCGGAGU